rnacentral:rRNA from 1 species
UGGGGAAUUUUGUGCAAUGGGCGAAAGCCUGACACAGCGACACCGCGUGAGCGAAGAAGCCCUUUGGGGUGUAAAGCUCUGUCAGCUGGAACGAAACAAAUGACGGUACCAGCAGAGGAAGCAUCGGCUAACUACGUGCCAGCAGCCGCGGUAAGACGUAGGAUGCGAGCGUUGUCCGGAUUUAUUGGGCGUAAAGAGUUCGUAGGUGGUUUGUUAAGUCUGAUGUUAAAGAUCGGGGCCCAACCCCGGGAGUGUAUUGGAUACUGGCAGACUGGAGUGCAGUAGAGGCGAGUGGAAUUCCCAGUGUAGCGGUGAAAUGCGUAGAUAUUGGGAAGAACACCGGUGGCGUAGGCGACUCGCUGGGCUGUAACUGACACUGAGGAACGAAAGCCAGGGGAGCGAAUG